rnacentral:lncRNA from 1 species
ACAUCUGGGAACUGAGCUCACUCGAGGCUUUUCUCACGUAGCCUCCUUUGAACCUGUUUCCUCAUCUGUAAAAUGGGGCUAAGGAUAGCAUCCACCUAUUUCAGGGUCGUUUUGAGGGAAUCCUGGAGAGAAAACUAGGGUUUUCAGCAAAAGGAUCGGCACAAAGUAGAUGUUCGCCGCUCCCCUCCCUCCUUCCCGCUCCCCCGGGCAGGAAGGCUCGCGUGCGCGAGGCCACAGCGCAAGCGGGUGCAGAGCAGGAUUCGAACAGGGUUCCAUGCAACUCCGUGCCCAGGGUCCUACCACCGCCUGAGCUCAGCGGUCUUCAGCCAGCGGGGCCCUUCCACCCCCUUCCUUAAUAGUUUUCCUCCUCCGCCUCCUGCACGGCCUCCGCCUCCGCCUGACCGUCCUCGGAAACCUCCCAGCCGCAGCCCGGCCCUCCCCAGCGGCCUGAGUGGCCUCCUCCCGCGGCGCCCCCCAGCUCCGCACCUCCCCAGCCCCGCCCGAGGCGCGCCCAGCGAGCGUGACCCCGACCCAGGGCCACGGCUGCGCCCGUAGGAUCGCGGGCGCGCGGGUCUCCAUGAGGGACUGGGAGAGAUGCGUCACCCGCUAAUCCCUCAACUGGGUCGCACCCGGUCUGCCUUGGUUGGUCCCUUCUGAUGGCGGAGGCGGGACCUCGACUUGGUGGCCAAUGAGGAGCCUCGUGGGGGUGCUCUCGGCUGCCAUGGCAACGGAGGGGCCGCCCGCUUCCCCGCGGGGCGAGGCCGGCUCUCCCAGGACUGGCCACAUUGCAGUCACGCGCUGUGGCCCCAGUCCUGUUAGCAUGAGGUGGGGGUCAGAAGUUGAGGAACAACUCGGACCUAAAGCCUUGACAAUUGCCAACAGUGUAGACAAGUCCCAGCAUGCCCAAAAUUUAUAAGAGAAGGCUGCCUGGAAGAGGGACACGAUGAGGAGGGUCUGCUGAAACGGACAAAGAAACCCAGUUCAGUGCAGUGGAGUGGACAUGGCACGGGCAGGGCACGGAGUGGGGUCGGUGCUUAGUAAGCGGAUUAGGGUUUCCAAGCCAAGACCCACCCAGGGCAGGAUGGGGAACCAAGGUGAGCAGGUGCGCUGAAUUGUGGGUCUCACACUGUCCUUCAGUGUCCCGCAGGAAGAGAGAGCUAAGGAUCACCAGGGUCAUUCCCCUGCCUCAGGCAGCCUGCACUCCACCUUAGGUACAGUCAUGUCCGGUCUUCAGCAUUCAUUAACCUCGUAUUCUUCCCAGGAAGAGGAAGGUGACCAGGUUCAUUGUCCCCAUUUCAUAAAUGAGAAAACUGAUGCCUGCCUGCUAAAGUAGCUCACCCUUGGGCCGUGGGGCCUGGCAUUGGGCCCAAGCGGGGCCCUUCCAGGGAAGCCCCAGCCCGCAGUUCUGACGUUGCCCACCCUUGCUGAUGGUGCAGGGAUGUCAGGGGCAACUGAGCCCCAUGUUUAACGAGGCAGGUGAGCUGGGGUCAGAACCCUGCCCUGGCCUCUGAUGGCCCUGGGUGGGGAUGUGUCUAACUCCCUCCUCAGUCACUCUGGGAGGGAGUCCAGUGUUGCCCCACGCUCGUGGCCUCCAGAAGCCCACAGUCUAAUGGGGAGACAGACCCUACAGGGACCACAUGAUGUGAGAAAUGCUGCAGGGGUGACGUGGACAAAGCACAGGGGAGCACAGGAGAAGGGGUGCCUGAGUCGGCCCAGGGAAGUCAGGGAAGGCCUCACAGCGGAGGCAACCCCAACACAAGAUGCAGAGUGCUUGCUAGGCAGCCAAGCAAGGGGACGGUCGCCAUCCCAGGCAGAGGGAGCAAAGGCCUAGAGGCCACCUGUCUGCAAAGCCUAGAGGCAUCCCUGAGAGUGGCUCCGAAGAACAAGUCUAGGAGUGUGGACUACAACUUUAGGCAAGGCCCAGGCUGCAAAGUGAAUACCAAAGACAGGGCUGUGUGCUCCACAGUUGGGUGCUUUCAGCCCCCUUCUGAAUCAGCAGGCACCCACAUACACUUUUCUCUAACUGGCAGAUUCACAGAACCCCAAGAACCUUUCUCAGGACCCCACUUUGAGAAGUAUUGGAUUAGAAGUUAACACUGUCCGGCUCACAGUGGCUCACGCCUGUAAUCCCAGCACUUUGGGAGGCUGAGGAGGGCGGAUCUCUUGAGGUCAGGAGUUCAAGACCAGCCUGGCCAAUAUGGUAAAACCCCA